AACAACUCACCUGCCGAAUGAAUUAGCCCUGAAAAUGGAUGGCGCUGAAGCGGGUGGCCGACACCACGCCGUCUGACGAAACACGAAAAAUAGUCAGAUGAGUAGGAGGGCGUGGCGGCCGUGUCGAAGCAUGCGUGCAGACGCUUGUGGAACGGCCGCUAGUGCAGAUCUUGGUGGUAGUAGCAAGUAUUCAAGCGAGAUCCUUGAAGGGCGAAGCGGGGAAGGGUUCCACGCGAACAUUGAUUGGGCGUGGGUGAGUCGUUCCUAAGCCGAGUGGCAAUUGCUAAGUAUCGGCGAAAGGGAAGCGGGUUGACAUUCCCGCACACGGAUGUGGAGGCGGUGACGCAGAAUGCGGCGAACACGCUGGCGACGGCGCUGGGCAGAGUUGUCUUUUCUGUUUGACCUACUCAGCGCGCGGUGUGGAAUCCGCUUGUCGGGAGAAACACGCGUGCCGGGGCAGAGCGCCGGGCCUUUUCCGGCGUCCAGCUCGCCGUCGACGGCCCUUGAAACUUUGCCUGCUGAAUUUUUUUGCUUUGUGCAAAAGAGAAAAUCCACGCCGUGGCGUACCGAUCACCGCAUCAGGUCCCCAAGGUGAACAGCCUCUGCUCAAUAUGAACAAU
rnacentral:rRNA from 1 species